rnacentral:rRNA from 1 species
AUGGGUUGAUCUUGCCAGUAGUUAUAUGCUUAUCUUAAAGAUUAAGCCAUGCAUAUGUAAGUAUGAACUAAUUCAGACUAUGAAAUUAUGAAUGGCUCAUUAAAUUAGUUACACUUGUUGGAUGGUAUCUACUAUUUGGAUAACCAUAGUAAUUCUAGAAGUAAUACGUGUAUCAAACCCUAAGUUUUGGAAAUGAUGCAUUUAGUAAAUAAAAGAAUGAUGCAAGCUUUGCCCAUUGCUCUAAUGAUUCAUGAUAACUCGAUGGAUCAUAUGGCCUUUAUGCUAAUGACACAUCAUUCAAAUUUCUACCCUAUCAACUUUUGAUGGUAGGAUAGUGGCCUAUUAUGGUGGUAAUAAGUAAUAGAGAAUUAGGGUUUGAUUUUGGAGAGAGAGCCUCAGAAGUAGCUACGAGAUCUAAUGAAGGCAGUAGGCACUCAAAUUACCCAAUCCUAACAUAGGGAGGUAGUGACAAUAAAUAACAAUAUCAGGCUCUAUGAGUCUGGUAGUUAGAAUGAGUCCAAUAAAUCCCUUAACAAGGAUCCAUUGGAGGGCAAGUUUGGUGCUAGCAACUGUAGUAAUUCUAGCUCCAAUAGCAUAUAUUUAAGUUGUUGUAGUUAAAAAGCUUGUAGUAGGAACUAAGCUUAGGUUGUCUGGUCUUCCUCAUGGUGAGCAUUGGUCUACUCAUUCCUAUUAUUGAUGAUGCACUCCUGGCCUUAACUGGCUAGGUUGUUCUUUUAACGCUAUUACUUUGAAGAAAUUAGAGUGCUCAAAGUAGGCCUAUGCUUGUAUACAUUAGCAUGGGAUAAAAUCAUAGGAUUUGGUCCUGUUGUGUUGGUCUUUGGGAUUGGAGUAAUAAUUAAUAGAGACAUUUAGGGCAUUCAUAUUUCAAAGUCAGAGGUGAAAUUCUUGGAUUUAUGAAAGACAAACAAUUGCAAAAGUCUUUGCCAAAGAUGUUUUCAUUAAUCAAAGAUGAAAAGUUAGGGGCUCAAAGAUGAUCAGAUACCAUUCUAGUCUUAAGCAUAAAUGAUGCUGACCAAGGAUUGAUAGAUGUUACUUUUAGGACUCCACUGACAACUUAUGAGAAAUCAAAGUCUUUGGGUUCCAUGGGGAGUAUGGUCACAUGGCUAAAACUUAAAGGAAUUGAUAGAAGGGCACCAUUAGGACUAUAACUUGUAGCUUAAUUUGACACAAUAAGGAGAAACUAACCAAGUCCAGAAGUAGUAAAGAUUGACAAACUGAGAGCUAUUUCUUGAUUCUAUUUAUACAUGGUCAUUCUUAGUUGAUGGAGCAAUUGUUUGGUUAAUUCCAUUAAUGAAAGAGAUCUUGGCCUACUAACUAGCUACACGGAGCUCAUCCUUCAUGACUACCUUUUUAGAGAGACUAUGGUCACUUAGGUGAAGGAAGUUUGAGCCAAUGAUAGGUCUAUGAUGCCCUUAGAUGUUCUAGGCUGCAUGAGCUCUACACUAAUGUGUUCAUUGAGUCUAUAGCCUUGGUGAACAAGCUCAAGUAAUCUUUGAAAUUUCAUCAUGAUGGGGAUAGAUCAUUGUAAUUGUUGGUCUUCAACAAGGAAGUCCUAGUAAGUGUGAGUCAUUUGCUCAUGUUGACUACAUCCCUACCCUUUGUACACAUCGCCCAUCGUUCCUACCAAUCGAAUGGUCCAAUGAAGUGUUCAAAAAGUCUAAUAAAGUGUUCAAAAAGUAGUGACAUGGACAUUUGCAGCCUAUGAUGUCAUGAAAAGUCUACUAAACCUUAUCGUUUAAAGGAAGGAGAAGUCAUUAAAAGGUUUUCAUAGGUGAAACUACAAAAG